rnacentral:rRNA from 1 species
CGGGUGAGUAAUGCGUGACCAACCUGCCCCAUGCUCCAGAAUAGCUCUUGGAAACGGGUGGUAAUGCUGGAUGCUCAACUUGACGCAUGUCUUGUUGGGAAAGUGUUUAGUGGCAUGGGAUGGGGUCGCGUCCUAUCAGCUUGUAGGCGGGGUAAUGGCCCACCUAGGCUUCGACGGGUAGCCGGCCUGAGAGGGCGGACGGCCACAUUGGGACUGAGAUACGGCCCAGACUCCUACGGGAGGCAGCAGGC